rnacentral:rRNA from 1 species
CAGUCGACGGAAACAAUUGGUACUUGUACAAGGUGUCGAGUGGCGAACGGGUGAAUAAUAUAUAGCUAACCUGCCCCUUAGAGAGGGACAACAGUUGGAAAACGACUGCUAAUGCCCCAUAUUCCUUUAUACUUAAUGUAUAUUGGGAAACGAAUUUUGCCAAAGGAUGAGACUAUAUGGUAUCAGGUAGUUGGUGGGGUAAGAGCCUACCAAGCCUAUGACGCCUAGCUGGUCUGAGAGGAUGAUCAGCCACACUGGAACUGAGACACGGUCCAGACUCCUACGGGAGGCAGCAGUGGGGAAUAUUGCACAAUGGACGAAAGUCUGAUGCAUCCACCGCGCGUGGAGGAUGACGCAUUUCGGUGCGUAAACUCCUUUUAUAUGGGAAGAUAAUGACGGUACCAUAUGAAUAAGCACCGGCUAACUCCGUGCCAGCAGCCGCGGUAAUACGGAGGGUGCAAGCGUUACUCGGAAUCACUGGGCGUAAAGCGCAUGCAGGCGGUCUACUAAGUUGGACGUGAAAUCCUAUGGCUCAACCAUCGAACUGCUUCCAAAACUGUUAGACUAGAGUUCUGGGAGAGGAAGAUGGAAUUAGUUGUGUAGGGGUAAAAUCCGUAGAGAUAACUAGGAAUACCAAAAGCGAAGGCGAUCUUCUGGAAGAGUACUUACGCUGAGAUGCGAAGGCGUGGGGAGCAAACAGGAUUGGAUACCCUGGUAGUCCACGCAGUAAACGAUGAAUGUUAGUCGUCGGGUAGCAAGUCUAUUCGGUGAUGCAGUUAACACAUUAAACAUUCCGCCUGGGGAGUACGGUCGCAAGAUUAAAACUCAAAGGAAUAGACGGGGACCCGCACAAGCGGUGGAGCAUGUGGUUUAAUUCGAAAAUACGCGAAGAACCUUACCUAGACUUGAAAUCCUUGGAAUCUUGCAGAGAUGCGAGAGUGCUAGUUUACUAGAACCAAGUGACAGGUGCUGCACGGCUGUCGUCAGCUCGUGUCGUGAGAUGUUGGGUUAAGUCCCGCAACGAGCGCAACCCUCGUGAUUAGUUGCUAACAGUUCGGCUGAGCACUCUAAUCAGACUGCCUUCGUAAGGAGGAGGAAGGUGAGGACGACGUCAAGUCAUCAUGGCCCUUAUGUCUAGGGCUACACACGUGCUACAAUGGUUGGGACAAAGAGCAGCGAUACCGCGAGGUGGAGCAAAUCUUAAAACCCAAUCUCAGUUCGGAUUGGAGUCUGCAACUCGACUCCAUGAAGCUGGAAUCGCUAGUAAUCGUAGAUCAGCAAUGCUACGGUGAAUACGUUCCCGGGUCUUGUACUCACCGCCCGUCACACCAUGGGAGUUGAUUUCACUCGAAGCCGGAAUACUAAAUUAGUUACCGUCCACAGU